UCUCCGUUGGUGAACCAGCGGAGGGAUCAUUACAGAGUCGUAAAACACUCCCAAACCCAUGUGAAUUUACCUUUGUUGCCUCGGUGGGAGCCUACCAGCUUACCCUGGAACGGCCUCACCGGUGGACCUUUUAACUCUUGUUAUUUUAUGUAAUCUGAGAGUCUUAUUUUAAAUAAGUCAAAACUUUCAACAACGGAUCUCUUGGUUCUGGCAUCGAUGAAGAACGCAGC
rnacentral:misc_RNA from 1 species